GUUUCUGUAGUGUAGUGGCUAUCAUGUUUGCCUUACACGCGAAAGGCCCCUGGUUCAUAACCAGGUAGAAACA